rnacentral:rRNA from 1 species
AUGCUGGAGGUAUCAGAAGUGCGAAUGCUGACAUAAGUAACGAUAAAGCGGGUGAAAAGCCCGCUCGCCGGAAGACCAAGGGUUCCUGUCCAACGUUAAUCGGGGCAGGGUGAGUCGACCCCUAAGGCGAGGCCGAAAGGCGUAGUCGAUGGGAAACAGGUUAAUAUUCCUGUACUUGGUGUUACUGCGAAGGGGGGACGGAGAAGGCUAUGUUGGCCGGGCGACGGUUGUCCCGGUUUAAGCGUGUAGGCUGGUUUUCCAGGCAAAUCCGGAAAAUCAAGGCUGAGGCGUGAUGACGAGGCACUACGGUGCUGAAGCAACAAAUGCCCUGCUUCCAGGAAAAGCCUCUAAGCAUCAGGUAACAUCAAAUCGUACCCCAAACCGACACAGGUGGUCAGGUAGAGAAUACCAAGGCGCUUGAGAGAACUCGGGUGAAGGAACUAGGCAAAAUGGUGCCGUAACUUCGGGAGAAGGCACGCUGAUAUGUAGGUGAGGUCCCUCGCGGAUGGAGCUGAAAUCAGUCGAAGAUACCAGCUGGCUGCAACUGUUUAUUAAAAACACAGCACUGUGCAAACACGAAAGUGGACGUAUACGGUGUGACGCCUGCCCGGUGCCGGAAGGUUAAUUGAUGGGGUUAGCGGUAACGCGAAGCUCUUGAUCGAAGCCCCGGUAAACGGCGGCCGUAACUAUAACGGUCCUAAGGUAGCGAAAUUCCUUGUCGGGUAAGUUCCGACCUGCACGAAUGGCGUAAUGAUGGCCAGGCUGUCUCCACCCGAGACUCAGUGAAAUUGAACUCGCUGUGAAGAUGCAGUGUACCCGCGGCAAGACGGAAAGACCCCGUGAACCUUUACUAUAGCUUGACACUGAACAUUGAGCCUUGAUGUGUAGGAUAGGUGGGAGGCUUAGAAGUGUGGACGCCAGUCUGCAUGGAGCCGACCUUGAAAUACCACCCUUUAAUGUUUGAUGUUCUAACGUUGACCCGUAAUCCGGGUUGCGGACAGUGUCUGGUGGGUAGUUUGACUGGGGCGGUCUCCUCCUAAAGAGUAACGGAGGAGCACGAAGGUUGGCUAAUCCUGGUCGGACAUCAGGAGGUUAGUGCAAUGGCAUAAGCCAGCUUGACUGCGAGCGUGACGGCGCGAGCAGGUGCGAAAGCAGGUCAUAGUGAUCCGGUGGUUCUGAAUGGAAGGGCCAUCGCUCAACGGAUAAAAGGUACUCCGGGGAUAACAGGCUGAUACCGCCCAAGAGUUCAUAUCGACGGCGGUGUUUGGCACCUCGAUGUCGGCUCAUCACAUCCUGGGGCUGAAGUAGGUCCCAAGGGUAUGGCUGUUCGCCAUUUAAAGUGGUACGCGAGCUGGGUUUAGAACGUCGUGAGACAGUUCGGUCCCUAUCUGCCGUGGGCGCUGGAGAACUGAGGGGGGCUGCUCCUAGUACGAGAGGACCGGAGUGGACGCAUCACUGGUGUUCGGGUUGUCAUGCCAAUGGCACUGCCCGGUAGCUAAAUGCGGAAGAGAUAAGUGCUGAAAGCAUCUAAGCACGAAACUUGCCCCGAGAUGAGUUCUCCCUGAC